CUCUCCACCAGCCGGAGAAGCAGCACAGCGUGCCCCGGUGACUGGCACUGUCCUCCCCAGGCAAGCAGCAACCAGCCAGUGCCCGGCCGCCUCACGGAGCAGACGGCGCUUGUCUGAGCUUCUUUUCACUAUCCUGUUUCUGGUGUUCACCAGCCUCAAAGGAACACCAUUGACUUGAGACGGCCGUCAGAUCCAGUGGAACUUCACCGACUGAUUCAAAAGCCACCGGGGAGGGAGAGAGAUAGCACCAAAGAACUGACAGACAGACAGACACCCUGCAUGCAGGUGCAGCUUUACCAGCCUAAAAAUAAAAGCAAUGAUCUGGGCUAUUUGGCACCGUAGGGCAAACGUUUUUCCAAUGAAGGAAUCUUAAACGAGAGAUCUGCAGUAACGUCAGGCGCACACGCUCAAAUCACCCAAGCCAGACCCUCUCAAGCACACGAUCACCUUAAAAAGACACGCUAUCUGCAUCACAGCAGUAACUCCGCUAACGUCCGUCAAAGCUGCACCCACCUUACCCUCGAUAGGACAAAUGGAGGGAGAAGCUGGGCCACAGAUCCCACUCAGUUGCUCUAGUUGGUAAAGUGGAUCUGCAGGAGGAGGAGGACAUUUUGCGUUGAGGGUUGUUACGCACAAGCAGAAAUUAGGCUGAUUUCUCUCCUCCCCGCUGUCAGCUGUUGAUUAGGCCUAUCAAUAAGGCUAAUAUUCCACUGUUCACUUUCUACCCCUUGUUUACACCAAGCUGACGUGAGAAGUAAAUCAAAGGUUAAUUCUUGCUCCCCAGGAAGGCGACAAAAAGCAACGCGGACCAAAGAUCAGCCAAAUCCUGGAACUGGCUGCGGUCUGCCCACGCAUCCAGUCUCCCCCAGACCAGUGGGGCAGCGAUACCUCACCGGCACAGGAAGGCUCAGAAAGCACCAAGCUGCAUUUCCUCUGCCAAGGAAACGCACCUCCGCUGCUUCGAUCUAUACGCAAAGCAGCCUGCAGUCAGCCAGCUGGGCAGAGGACCAAAGCCAGAACCUCUGCCAGAGCAGGGUGCGGAAUGGGAAGAGACGCCCGCGAGCCUCUCCGCCGGAACGGUCCUGAAAAAGGGGACGGCACUUGUCGUGCUUGAAAGGGCGCUGAGUCUUGGCUACCUCGCGGGGCAUUUGGAAAGGGACACUGCGACCAAGCGCUGGCGAAUGCACCGGGGGAAGCCUCAGCGGGACACACCAGACCCUUAGCAUUUCAGCCGAGGCACCGGUGCUGUGAGUCACGCAGAACACGGCCGAGCAGCGCGACAGCCAGGGCACUCGCAGGAAAAUCCAUAUUUGCCUAAGGCGGAAACAGAAAGUCAACUUCAAGCGUACAGGAUUUGGGCGCUGAAACAGAGUCCGCAUUGCAGGCCUGGGCUAGCUCCUUCCCUGUGAUUUAGCUGGCAAAAAGGUGAUUUUUGCAAUGACAGUGAACAGCUCACUACUGCUCUGAAUAAUUUGGGGAAACCGCUCCGUUCCUAGAAGGGCACAGAAGAACACCAUUUUAUCUAGUUUUCAUUACCACUCCCCAUCGGCCAUGAAAGGUGGGGAUGUGUCACAACCACACGGCAGGACACCCAGCACGUUUCUGCAGAGGCUCACGUCGGCGAGGGACCUGCCAGUGCUAGCCGUGGAGCCCCCAGCCAUAACUCACACACCCGAGACAACUCCAAGCAGCACCAAUUCCCCCCUCAGAGGCAGGGAGUAUCUCCGAGAAUGAUUUUGCUUAGCUGGGCAGAGCAGGUCCUUGGUUUGUCCGGGGGAUAACUCCAGGAGACCCUGGGAAAAACUCACAUGCACAGAUUUCUUCUCAGUACUAUAAUGUCGUUAUGAACUCGUUCUUAGCUGAACUGCGGCCUGAUCACGUUACGGCUCUUGUAGGCCCUAGAACUCCCUGUCCCUACAGAAGAAGGACUAAAAAUGGCCGGGUGCUUUUCAGCCUCUGAGAGCUGCAUUUGGAUUCCCGUUGCCUGGGUGAUCCCUUUUUAUCGUGGCCUUGUUCGUCUGGAUCAACCAGUUUUUGAGACAAUCUGCUGGCAGACACUGCUUUUAGACUGAGCCCUGAAAGCCUCCACAACCAAGAGCUUGACCUGAGCCGAUCAUCCUGUCCCUCGUCAUCCUCGGUAGCUGGCUACAGACAAGAUAACGCCAAACCACAGGCAAAUCUUCCCUCCAAAAGUCUAGUCCAGUUUGGGGACUACUGCCUACUGCUGCGUGACUGGUAUUCAUGAAGUGUAGUAACCUCCAGCUGGAGAGACUGAUUCAAAAGCAAAACAAAUGGAUAUGAGCAGAAGGAUGCUUACUAUCGCAUCACGCCGCUUAGAAAGCAAAAAAGGAAUCUCCAUCCUUAGACCUCAUCAAACACCUCUGGAGUCACGCAAGGGACAUACUGAGAUUUUCAUGACAUCCCCGCCACAAUCUGCUGUCCAAGACCAAUCCUAAACGUGACACCGGGGUCUCAAACUUGAUGGUAAUUUUCUUCGCAUCUGUGAGAGCAGUAAAGGGAGCACAGUAGCAUUACAGGCUUUCACCUGCCUCUGAAGUCUUUACUAUAUCAUAUUACAGUGUCACCACUGAAAUCUCCUUUAGAACUUCAAGGUCUCCUUUCUUUAAUCCCACCCGGCAAAGACCUCCCCAUUGCAUCCCCAGACCUGAAUUGCCCCAUUCGAGCGGCAGCCUGACGGCGCUCUUUGGAGAGCCCUUUCCCACAGUGAUUAUUUCAUUGCUGCAGAAGGCAGAUGUUCUUCAUUACACAUUAGAGAGCACAAAUAUGUUCUCUGUUGAGCUGCAAGGAAAAGGCGCCCAGUCCUACAGGUUAAUUAGUGAGUAGGGUGGGGGAAUUUGUCUAACCUCUACUAGGAAUUAUCCAACGUGGCUUUAAAAAAAGAUCAGCUAGGCUGCACAACUGUGGAACAGGCACCUUCCUCUGGAAGAAUAAAUAAAUAAAUAAAUAAGAAAAACCUAUGCAAUACUUCAAUAAUGGUCCAGUGCCUCUCAGGUUAGCUCAGCAAUAACACCGUGCUUUGGGCUCUUCCAAGGUAUUAUUAUUAUUUAUGCUACGUUACAAGGUAGUUUGUUUGAUCCUUAAUUGGAGGUGACAUAUUGAGAAGCCCCAGUUGCAAGCAGCCUCCUGAACUAACUCUGACACAAAGAUUGUUCUAGUCAUAAAUUAUAGGACACGAACAAGUGCAUAAAACUAAUUUGCUCUGAUGUAACCGACCAGGAUCUUGCUGUUCACCCUGGAAGGGGGAAAAGAUUGGUAUCUCCCUCUUGCAGCUGCAAACAAAGGGCACGAGGUCUUCCAAGGACUUGCCAUCAAAACGGGCAGAGACGCGCACGGGAACCCAAACUUGCAGCACCCUGCUCUGAACCACCUCUCCAACCCGGACCAGCUGCACGCUCUAUACGCUGGCACAAACUCUAGCUUUAUUCCUAAUUUAAUUAGAUAUACUUGGCACUGUGCAUUAUUCGGUAGGUUUAUACUUAGCAGUCACGGCGCGAGCGCAGGCGCCAGGCGGGUUGCAGGCAGAGGUGCCCAGCACCCGCAGCUUGCUCCUCGGGGAAAGCAGGGCUCGCGACCUAACGGGCCUGGGCCACAUCAUCCGGGGAUUGCUCCCCAAAAAACAGGAUUUUUGUUUUUGCUGUCCUAUUUUAACAACAAAAUGAGUUUCGAGUUGUGAAGGGAAGCAAAACCGUAACAUUUGAUUUGCUAGCAUCCUUCAACUUUUUCCGGCAGUGGCAGUUCUGAAACUCCCACACCUGCUUUAAUUACGCCGCGGCAGGCUGUUGCCAAGGAACGCGCUCUGCUGCCAAGGCCUCUGCUUCGGAGGCGCAAAUUAAUAACCUGCAGUCAAAUUAACCUUGCGGAGCGACGAGGAAAGCACCCCGGCGAAGGUCCCCAAGCCCUCGAGAACCCUCGCCGGCGUUAAAGCCUUCUUUAUGUCCAUCUGUUACCAGCAGUGCCCUAGUUCUGCUUAUUCAGGGAAAAUCCUAUGGAGAUUAAAAAAAGGAAUAAAACUAAAUUUGAAAAAAGAAA